rnacentral:sRNA from 1 species
UUUCUGCAAUACUCAUGACCUUAAAGGACUCUAAUGGACGGAACCUAGUGCACUUGUUCUUUUUAUAUCGACGUUUGGAGUUCUUUAAAGAACUUCUAAAUGAGAGAAAACAGAAGUUACUAAGAGCAGUGGACAAUGAAGGUAACAAUGUUCUACACCUGGCUGCGCUUUUGGCCCCUCAAUUCAAAUCAUUCUCAGGUUUAAGUGCAAAAAUUCAAAUGAAAAAAGAGCUCUCUUGGUUCCAGUAUGCGGAGACAGAAGUUCCCGAUGAAUUAAAGAGUAUGAGAAACAAGAAUGGGAAGACACCAAUUGAUGUAUUUUAUGAUGAACACAACCAGUUAUCAAAAGAUAUCAAAGAAUCUGCUAAAGGAAUAGCCGAUUCUGGGAUGGUUGUGGCAACGCUUGUUGCUUCUGUAGCAUUUGCAGCUGCUCUCACUGUUCCAGGUGAUAAGGGCAAUGCCUGGUUCAUAGUUUUCAUCGUCACAAAUGCAAUCGCAUUGUUCACUUCUUCUGCCUCCAUACUCUCUUUCUUGACAAAUUUCACUUCUUCAAGAUUCGCAGACACUGAAUUUGUUAUAUCACUACAUCCCAGCUUGACUUUUGGCCCUGAGUUACUAAUAAUCUCCGUUGCUGCUAUGGUUGUGGCUUUCAUUGCAGCAUCCUUUCUGAUAUUUGAUUGCACAACAAAAUGGG